AUAUCUCUCCGUACGGGAAGGAUGAGAAGCUUCGACUAAGGUUCGAUUCGAGCGAAAGCGAGAAAGCGUUGCCGCAGGCAACGACCCGAAGGGCGAAACGCGCAGCGCUGAGUCAUCCUUCCCCCACCACCA
rnacentral:sRNA from 4 species